rnacentral:rRNA from 1 species
UAACACGUAAGCAACCUGCCUAUCAGAGGGGAACAACAGUUAGAAAUGACUGCUAAUACCGCAUAUGCCUUAGAAUCACAUGGUUCAAAAGGGAAAGGAGCAAUCCGCUGAUAGAUGGGCUUGCGUCUGAUUAGCUAGUUGGUGGGGUAACGGCCUACCAAGGCGACGAUCAGUAGCCGAACUGAGAGGUUGAACGGCCACAUUGGGACUGAGAUACGGCCCAGACUCCUACGGGAGGCAGCAGUCGGGAAUAUUGCGCAAUGGAGGAAACUCUGACGCAGUGACGCCGCGUGCAGGAAGAAGGUUUUCGGAUUGUAAACUGCUUUAGACAGGGAAGAACAAAGACAG